UACGUAGGGGGCAAGCGUUGUCCGGAAUCAUUGGGCGUAAAGAGCUCGUAGGCGGUCUGUUGCGUCCGCUGUGAAAACUCGGGGCUUAACCCCGAGCCUGCAGUGGAUACGGGCAGACUAGAGGUAGGUAGGGGAGAAUGGAAUUCCCGGUGUAGCGGUGAAAUGCGCAGAUAUCGGGAGGAACACCGGUGGCGAAGGCGGUUCUCUGGGCCUUACCUGACGCUGAGGAGCGAAAGCGUGGGGAGCGAACAGG
rnacentral:rRNA from 1 species